GACGGAGGGGGCAAGCGUUGUUCGGAAUUAUUGGGCGUAAAGGGCUCGUAGGCGGAUCUGUAAGUCUGACGUGAAAUCUCCACCGCUUAACGGGGAGAGGUCGCUGGAUACUGCAGAUCUGGAGUUCGGCAGAGGACCAUGGAAUUUCGGGUGUAGCGGUGGAAUGCGUAGAUAUCCGAAAGAACACCGGUGGCGAAGGCGGUGGUCUGGGCCUGAACUGACGCUGAGGAGCGAAAGCCAGGGGAGCAAACGGGAUUAGAUACCCCGGUAGUCCUGGCCGUAAACGUUGGAUACUAGGUGUGGGGGGUAUCGACCCCUCCUGUGCCGAAGUUAACACAUUAAGUAUCCCGCCUGGGAAGUACGGCCGCAAGGUUGAA
rnacentral:rRNA from 1 species